CUAGAGUGUGAAGAAGAAGAAGAAGAAGAAGAAGAAGAUGAUGAUGAUGGAGGAUCUUCAUGAACUUUCUAGGGAGUUGGUGAGAGACGUUUUAGAUUUAGCAGAGGAUGUGGAAGCAGGACCUGCUGACCCAGAGCAUGUAGCGAGUAAAGCAGAGGAAUUUAUUGAAGUUCUUGGAGUUAUUUCCGCACUUUCUGACCAAGAUAUUGAUUAUAGAGUGACUGCAAAUUUAGAAGAAGUAGUCCACCGCUUCUCUGGUACCAGGGAGCAUCAGGCCCAACACACACAGGGACCGGGGCGUUUGGCGUUUGACAUACCGAGUGCAGUUCUGGAGCAUCAAGUUCUUAGUGGCUUACCCGCGGGUCAAAUUGCAGCGAUGUUCGGAGUGUCAAAGAGGACCAUCAGGAGGCGCAUGAAACAAAACGGUUUAAGAAAGACAGACCUCUAUUCAGCUGUGAGUGAUGAGGAGUUAGACCGUAUUGUAAGUGAAAUUCACAGAAGACAUCCAAACACCGGCUACAAGCUAAUGCGCGGUCAUCUGAAUGCAAGAGGUGUGCGUGUUCCAAUCUCAAGACUGCAAGAGUCUUUACGCAGAGUCGAUACG